rnacentral:rRNA from 1 species
GAUGAACGCUGGCGGCGUGCCUAAUACAUGCAAGUCGAGCGGACAGACGAGGAGCUUGCUCCUCUGACGUUAGCGGAGGGCGGGUGAGUAACACGUGGAUAACCUACCUAUAAGACUGGGAUAACUUCGGGAAACCGGCGCUAAUACCGGAUGAUAUAUUGCACCACGUGGUUCAAUAGUGAAAGACGGUGUUGCUGGCACGUAUAGAUGGAUCCGCGCCGCAUUAGCUAGUUGGUAAGGUAACGGGUUACUACGGGAACGAGGCGUGGACGAGUGGAGAGGGGGAUAGGCGGCACGAGAAGUGAGACAGGGUCCAGAGUCCUGCGGGAGGCAGCAGAAGGGAACCGUCCGCAACAGGCGAAAGCAUGACGGAGCAACGGCGCGCGAGUGGUAAAGGCCUUCGGAGCGGAAAACCGGGCUAUGAGGGAAGAACAAAUUUGUAAGUAAAUAUGCACGUAGUGACGGUAACUAAUCAGAAAGCCACGGCUAACUACGUG